CACGCGCCUUUUGACGUUUGUUGAUAGGUCUUCACCGUUCACGUUCGUCGCAUUUCAGAAAACGGGACUUCGAAGGCUCCCAUUAUUUCUGGUUAACAGGUAGUGCACGGGGCACGUUAUUACGUCCCUUCGUACUAGCUAACAGGUUGAUAUAUAUCGAUCAACAGAUGUUAGAAGUUUAUGACAUGGCACCAGAGUACAAGCACAUAUAGCCGUCACAGAAUGAGUGGUCAGCACCUUCGCCCUCAGGUUAUUCAGUUGUACAAGAAUCUUCUUCACCUCGGCAAGGAAUACCCUAAAGGUUACACCUAUUUUCGAGACAAGCUGAAAAAUGCUUUCUUAAAAAAUAAGGAUGUUAGUGAACCCAAAGAUAUCGAGAUACUUUUAGCCCGAGGAGAAUAUAUCAUCAAA